rnacentral:rRNA from 1 species
UAUGGUGACUUUAGCGAGGGUGUACACCUCUUCCCAUUCCGAACAGAGAAGUUAAGCCCCUCAGCGCAGAUGGUACUGCACUUCGCGUGUGGGAUAGUAUGUCGUUGCCAUUU